AUCGAAGGAGGAAAGCAACCACCAAAAUGAUGGAGCUAUAACCCACAAUGCAAAAUCUGAGGAGGAAAGCAACCACCAAAACGGAGAAUGUGGGGGUGAGCAAUUAAUGAUGAAGACCAGGUUGGCGAGAGAGCCAAGUGGAAUUUGCAAAGGUCAACAAGCGUGUGCGUACUGCAGGAGGUGGAAGUACAGGGACUGUUGGGUGAGUGUUUUGCAUAUGCAGUCAUAUAUUGGUUCAAAUGGUCCCUUUUGCAAUUCUCUUCUGUUGUGUAUGUAUGCUUGGCUAUUCUGUGUGUUUUGAGAAUACUUAAGCCAGUUGUGUGUUUAUGUCAUAUCUUACGUUAUUGAUGCAUCUUUUUCUGUCAGAAAUCUUCGGAUCAGAGAAGACACGGCUGAAACGGGAAAAAAUACUCUCCAGACACCCUCUCACUGGAGGGUGUCCAUCGCUGACAUGGAGACUAGGGGUGACAUGGCAGGUUAAAAAUGGAUACGGUCAGUAUCCGUUUCAAGGCUGAGGUUAGCAGUGUGGGACCAUCAUCCGAACUCAUCUACUCUUACGAUCCAGUGCAGGGUAGAAGUUUUAUGUAAUACUUCAGUUUCAGUUUUUAUUUACUUUUGACGUUGAACUCUCAGGGUUAUAUUUAGGGAUCCCUGACGUAGGAUUUUCCAAGUUGUAAUGAAGUACUGUAUUAAAUAAAGGAUGGAUGGAUGUUGUAUUAUUUAAUGUUCCUUUCCUGUCUAAA